AUGAUAGUUUUAUCAUCUGUGGACGAUUUCUUUCUCGUUCAAUGCCCUUUUUCAAUGGUCUCGAAGAGAGAAAUUUCCCAUUUUUAUCUAUGGAGUCACAACCGAGGUCGUGGUAAAUCCAUGAAUGGGGAGGUUAUCUUUGGAGGGGAAACUAUGCGUUUUUGGGACCUUCGUGCUCCAUGGUUAGAACCUCUAAGGGGCCCCAACGGUUUGGACUUGAGUAGGUUGAAAAAACACAUACAACCUUGGCAAGAACGACGCUCAGCAGAAUAUAUGACCCACGCUCCUUUAGGCUCUUUAAAUUCCGUGGGUGGCGUAGCUACCGAGAUCAAUGCAGUUAAUUAUGUCUCUCCUAGAAGUUGGUUAUCAACUUCUCAUUUUGUUCUAGGAUUCUUCUUUUUUGUGGGCCAUUUAUGGCAUGCAGGAAGAGCCCGAGCUGCUGCAGCAGGUUUUGAAAAGAGAAUCGAUCGUGAUUUGGAACCUGUUCUUUACAUGAACCCUCUUAACUAA
rnacentral:rRNA from 1 species